rnacentral:piRNA from 1 species
UUGGACAGUCCAAUGUCAACGUUGUCC